CACGUAGGGUGCGAGCGUUGUCCGGAAUUAUUGGGCGUAAAGGGCUCGUAGGCGGUUUGUCGCGUCGGGAGUGAAAACCAGGUGCUUAACACCUGGCUUGCUUUCGAUACGGGCAGACUAGAGGUAUUCAGGGGAGAACGGAAUUCCUGGUGUAGCGGUGAAAUGCGCAGAUAUCAGGAGGAACACCGGUGGCGAAGGCGGUUCUCUGGGAAUGACCUGACGCUGAGGAGCGAAAGUGCGGGGAGCGAACAGG
rnacentral:rRNA from 1 species